GUCACUGCCUGUAUGAAAUUUUAGUUUGAACUGACUUUGCUAGUGCUUUUUAUGUAGCCUGUUGUAAAACUAGGCAAAUAUCUAGAUGAGUCAAUGUACCCCCAGGAAGACCUUUACGUAUCCCUAGUUGAAAACUAAAGCUCUACAGUGUAGCUUUCUUUCC